rnacentral:lncRNA from 1 species
UGUUUAUCAACCUACAUGGUCUGUUGGAAAGACAUCACCCCAACCCUCCACCACCAGUAAGCAGGAGCAGAGAAUGAAGAGGAUGAAGAAGCUCAAAGGGAUCUCCAGAAGAUCAAAAAUGAGAGAGAUUAAUUCCAGGGAACCCUGGCCAAUUACACUAACAAGGAUUUGAACAACAGGAUCAACUUUGAGACUUUCAUAAUCAAGAUGCAACAUGAUCAGGUGAUGACUGACCUGAAUAGAGUGCCCCAGGGUAUCAGUGAGGCCUUGUACAAGUGCAAGGAGCUGACUAAAGAAAAUCAGUUCUACUGGUG